rnacentral:rRNA from 1 species
AGUGAACGCUGGCGGUAGGCCUAACACAUGCAAGUCGAACGGCAGCACAGUAAGAGCUUGCUCUUACGGGUGGCGAGUGGCGGACGGGUGAGGAAUACAUCGGAAUCUACUUUUUCGUGGGGGAUAACGUAGGGAAACUUACGCUAAUACCGCAUACGACCUACGGGUGAAAGCAGGGGAUCUUCGGACCUUGCGCGAUUGAAUGAGCCGAUGUCGGAUUAGCUAGUUGGCGGGGUAAAGGCCCACCAAGGCGACGAUCCGUAGCUGGUCUGAGAGGAUGAUGAGCCACGCUGGAACUGAGACACGGUACAGACUCCUACGGGAGGCAGCAGUGGGGAAUAUGGGACAAUGGGCGCAAGCCUGAUCAAGCCAUCCCGCGUGGGUGAAGAAGGCCUUAGGGUUGUAAAGCCCUUUUGUUGGGAAAGAAAAGCAGCAGGUUAAUACCCCGCUGUUCUGACGGUACCCAAAGAAUAAGCACCGGCUAACUUCGU